rnacentral:tRNA from 1 species
GGUAGGAUGGUUGAAUGGUUAGACGGGGGGCUGUAAACCCCCAUAUGGGGGUUUGACUCCUCCUCCUAUCA